GUAUUAACCCCCGCCCCUCCAUUACAGCGGUCCUCCCUCGAGCCGGGCGGGAGGCGCAGGGGUGGAAAUGGAUGUCCCGCAGAAGAACGAACGCCUCCCGCAUUGGCCAGCGCUCCUGCGUUUACUGGGGGGUGCUUAACCUACGCAGCGCUGGGUCGGGGGGUGUCUUCCCCCUUUAGAGCAGGGGGUCAGUAAAGCCCCUGCUGGCUGGCGGGCGCACCCCGGGCAGCGCAGAGCUGCUGGCCAGGCUCCACCCUACCGCCACUCGGCCCAGCGCUGAGGAUCCGGGGCUGGGUUCUGCAGCCAGCCCGCUCCUGCACUUGUGAGAGCUCUGCCCGACAGAGGGCUGAAGGAUCGGCCCAUCCAGCUCUUCGAGGCUGGGAUUCCCCCUCCUCCCCAGGACCCGUUUAUGAAAAGAGGGACUGGAGUCAGAUUUUCCAGGGUUCCGCGGUUUAAACUGCCGCUGAACAGUGGGGACGGAAGGACCUGAAUGAGUUAAGUAGCGCUCGAGUAUCCAAAAUGCUUUCAGGAUUUUCUUGCUGUGAGAACUUGGAGCAAAGGAUGACCGUGAAAGUCUUGCCGGAGUUACAACUGAGGAAGCUGCACGCGCGUUGCCGUGUGCGGUGGCGUUCCCUAGCGCCUCGACUGCAGAAUAAGAUCCCGAGUUGCCAAUGGGCAUUGUUCUAAUUGUUUUGUUUUCCGGGGAGUUGUCGGAAAACUGAAAUAAAGUUUCUUAGACAUGGAUCCAAAACGGUGUAGUGCCGCCUAUUCCUAACCUAGAAUUCAAACACAGCCCCAAUUGCCGUUAUGGGGAACUAUUUUUCAUUUUGGCAAUCUGCAUGGGUAGCAUGGUACACUACAUUUUUUUAAAAAAGCAGAAGCAAGAAAACUCUGCUAAGUUUGGCAUCACUUCAAUACUCUGAGAAUGUAAUAGAUAUAGGUAUAAAGUAUUACAGGUGUAUGUGUUAUCUUUAUCUUUAAUAUUUAAGAAUUAUACAUGACGUUUUAAAUCCACAGAGUGGCACUGAUACCAAGUCUGGUAGAAUUUUCUUGCUUCUCUGAAGUGUUUUAUCCACGCAAAUUGCCAGACGAACUCCAUUUUCCAUAUUAGUGAUUUUUUUUUAAAAUCUACUAUUGAAAUACACAUGGUGUUCAAUUUGACAUUUUAUAAGCUUUCUGACAACCUAUCUCUAACAUAACCUCAACUAAUAAAUAUUGAAUUUUAUAUUAGAAAGUUUAACAACAUUGAGAGACAAGGUGGGUGAGGGAAUAUUUUGUACUGGACCAAUUUAUAUGUGAGCUCCAAAGCUUGUCUCUUGACCAUCAGAAGGUCCAAUAAAAAUAUUCCCUCAUCUCUCUAACAUCCUGCGACCAACCUAGGACACUAGUGCAAACAUAAAAUAACCAUCACUUUAGAUUCUCUGAUUAACCCACUUUAAUAUUUUGCACGUGAAUAAUAACCGCUAC